AAGUUGUUUUUUGUUUGUCUGCUUGUUUGUUUGUUGUCAGGGGAAAACAAGCCUGUUUUGUUUGGAUUUGGAAGUGGUACAGGCCUGUCAUUUGCAGACUUGGCUUCAAGUAAUUCUGGAGAUUUUGCUUUUGGCUCUAAAGGUAAGAUGAAGAGGAAAAAGAUGACUAUUGAUUUCAGCCAAGUGUAAUUGAAAAAAGCAGUCCUUUCCAUGUUGUGACUUAAGUAGGAUGGCCCUGUCCUUGGUUUGCUUAUUAGUAACUAGGAUUACACAGUCUGGCAUUGAUGAUAACAGCUCUAAGAAUUUUCUCUUAAUUUUAGUUUAGUACUGAUAGUACUUCCUUUCCUCAUAUACAUGUAUGUUUUUCAGUUUUGGGAUAACCCUGACUUGGUUUUAAGACAAAUUGGAUUUCUGCAUUACGGCUGUAGAAAUUUACAAACUAGUGUCUCUUCUCAUUUAUCAGUGGUGUGUAUAUUUUUAAGAGUCAUUUAUUUGUGAGUGUGUUUCUGUCGCAUAUGUUUAUUUCUACCACAUGUAUGCAGUGCCCUUAGUGAGCACAUCCUCUGGAACUGGAGUUACAGAUGGUUAUGAGCCAUGCAGGUGCUAUUUGUUCACUGUCUUUACUCAUAAUAUAGCACAAUGUAAAUUAUUCUUUAAGAUAUUUGGAGACAUUUUAGAAUGAUGAAAUAAUCCAAUUUAAAAUUUUAGUCCUUUAAGUCCUACUUAGAUCUUUAUACAUUUUUAGGUUCAUGCUACUUACAGAAACACAUUAAACUUUUAGAAAUGAUUGAUAGGGCUAGACAGUGGUGGUACACACCUUGAGUCCCUGCACUCUUGAAGCAAAGGCAGGCAGAGCUCUCUGUGAGUUCAAGGCUAGCCUGGUCUACAGAAUAAGUUCCAGGAUGGCUAGGGCUAUACAGUGAGAGCUUGUCUC
rnacentral:lncRNA from 1 species